rnacentral:rRNA from 1 species
UACGAAGGGGGCUAGCGUUGCUCGGAAUUACUGGGCGUAAAGCGCACGUAGGCGGAUCGGUUAAGUCGGGGGUGAAAUCCUGGAGCUCAACUCCAGAACUGCCUUUGAUACUGGUGAUCUUGAGUCCGGGAGAGGUGAGUGGAACUGCGAGUGUAGAGGUGAAAUUCGUAGAUAGUUCGCAAGAACACCAGUGGCGAAGGCGCUACUGGCC